GUGUGAGAGAGAGAAAGGUCUUCGUUCUGCUGUUGGUUCACUCCCCAAAUGGCCGCCAUGGCCCGCACUGUGCCGAUCCGGAGCCAGGUGCUUCCUCCUGGUCUCCCAUGCGGGUGCAGGGCCAAGCACUUGGGCCAUCCCCCACUGCCUUCCCAGUCCACAGCAGAGAGUUGGACUGGAAAAGGAGCAACCGGGACAGAAUCCGGUGCCCCAACCAGGAGUAGAACCCAGGGUGCCGGUGCCGCAGGCGGAGGGUUAGCCAAGUGAGUCGCGGUGCCGGCCACCAAAGCUAUUUCAAAAAGUUUUCUUGAAUAUUAAUUUUGAGCUGGGCAAAAUUUUCUCUUUGAGGCAAAGGCAGGAAGGAUAUAGAAGAAACAGUAUAAGAAGAAACAGGGAGACCAGAGAAAAGAGGACAGGAAUUCAGUGUGGCUAGAGAGGAGGACCUUCCUCAGGGAGUUGGUCCGCAUUGCUGUUUGCCUCUAUCCCCGACCAGGAAGCGUGAAGAAUGUGUCUUAAGUGCAGGCAUUUGAGCCAGAUGGCCUUGUAAAAAAUAACACAUUCUAUACUGUGGAAUGUUCUAAUGUGGAAACCAAUAUCCAAGAAUGGACUAUGAAAAACAGUAUCUGCUAUUUUUAGCAGCCACCCCUUCUCUUUCUGAGUAAUAAGCCUAAUGUCCAGACUUAUGAUUCAAGGACCAAAAGAAAAUGACAACUCUAUCAGAUGGAUAUUUUCAAAAUAUUACCCUGUUGUACUCACAGUGUUGCUUGGGAAAAUUGCCAAAAAGGAAAACAAGGCCCAUCAGCAUGUGGUUUCAUGUGCUGGAGAGAAUGGGCAAAUAAAAAAGCAGAGAGGGCCUUGGGGGUGGCAGUGAAGACAAAGAGCUUGCUGGCAGCCAAGCCGUGCUCUCCUGUCUGUGAGGUGGCCUCUGAGAACACGUGCCUGACUCUCCUUCGCAAACAAAGCAACCAGAGCAGGAGGACCACAACCAGUGCUAGCCCCAAAGAGAAUCCGGUGUGGCUGAGAUUUGAAGAUUGUUUUGGUUCCCUCUGCUUGAAAAUCUGUCUCUCAGUGUUCUGUUUGGUGUCAGAAACUGCCACAGUGUUGGAAUGUCCCUCUGAUCACACACCUGUGCCUUGAGAUAGCUAGUUAGGGUAGAGAGUUAGAUGGUAGAAUGGAAAAACAGAACAAUAACAUUGAUAGGCACCAUUUAUCAAGCACUCACUGCCUUAUUUCCUUCAUUCCUCAUAUCACCCUGAUGGAGCACUGGCAGGGGAAACUCUGGGUUGCCCACCCAGGGUCCAUUUUUGUCCCUAUUCUAAAUUUAAUUCGUCUUGUCUUAACCAUUUAUUUAAGCAAAGAGCAAUAAAUAUGGCAGCACUCAAUCAAAGAGAUUCAGAGAGCUCCCUCAGCCAUGUGAGCAGGGAGCUUUUAUAGGCUGGACACAGAAGCAAAGUAGAGGAGUCACCUGAUUGGCUGAAGGGAUGAGGCAUUUGCUUCAUUGGGGCAUGGUCCAAGUUGAUUGUGAUGGCCUAAGCUCAGCUGUUACAAAAUUAGGUAUAUGUUUGUAUACUAAGUUAGUUGUGGUUACACAGGAAUUCAAAGUAUGGAGACAUUCUUCAUGCUAAUGACCUCCUAGUCAUGUAAUAUAAUACUUUUAACUGAAUUCCACUUUUCUUCUUCCUUAAUAUAGCCUUGGGCAAGCCAAAUGCAUUCCCAUUCCAGUGAUCGCUUUCCCGGUGGAUGGUUCAGGACUGAGAGAUGAGAGAGGCAUGUCUUACAGUGUCCUCAGUCUUUGCUGCCCGGGAUGGAGACAACCGUGGAGCUCACAGGUUAGGCAGACUGAGCGUGAAGAUAGCAGAGCUAGGAGAGGGCAAGGACAGCUUCCUUAAUGGCACAGGCCAGGCACUGAAUCAAACAGCCCUGACACCUGAAUUCUCCACAUCUGUUCUCUAAGGCUCUCAUGCAUCUGGAGUGGCCCUAUAUCAAAGUUCUGGAUGAUGGAAUGUAAGAGAAAAAGGUGUGUCAACCUUUCAGUUGUACCUUUUACAAGAAGCAGUGUCCCCAACCUUCCCCUUUGCUGUUGCUUUGAGUGCAGACAUAAUGGCAGAAGCUGGAGGUGCCAUCGCGACUCGUAAUGUGAAAGUGACAUCCUGGGGAUGGCUCAGGUUCUGACUGCAAGACAGAAGGAGUCUAGGCACUGAUGACUGAGGAGUUGACAUAGAGGUUCUAGAUCUUGUUCCUGGACUUCUUAUGGAGGAAGAAAUCAACUUUUCAUUUACAUCAUUUUAUUCAGGCCUUUCUGUUAAAGAAGCCAACUUUAUGUCCCAAUGAGUAGAGAUGUGACCAUAAAUGUCUGUAAAUCAAUGCCUGAUGAUGCGGUAGCUCUGGUGUGUGCCUAGGUAGGACCGAAGCAGAGUCCCCCAGUGAUUCCUGGGAGCCCCCAGAAGGGCUUCAGAAGUGCCUUCAACCUUUUGUUCCUAUGCAGGUUUGCUCUGUUUGUCCUCUUCUGCUCUGUCAUCCACACUGCCUUUGGCAUGGCAAGUCUUCCACUGUCACAGCUCAUCAAGGGAAAGCCACCACCCAGGCCCACAGCUGUCUCCCCUUCAUCCAGAUCCUGCAGGCCUCUGGGUAGAGAGAAUACUUUUGUACUUCUGGCCACUGUGUGUCUCCUGGGCCAUCAUGGAAGAUCUACCCUGAGACAUUCCAGAAACUGAUGUCAGCUCUGGGCCCUGCCCCUUCACAGAGGUUGCACCCAGUCAAUAGGGCCAGGCCUAAGGGAACAAAAACCUCAUUAUCCCUUCUGUAGCACCAAAUGCUACUACUCCUGUCCCUAUGCAGUUUGUGUCGUCUCCACUGUUCAAGACCCAGAACCUCACAGGUGAAUUAUGAAUAAAGGUGAAUUGGCCCCAG